rnacentral:lncRNA from 1 species
GCAAGUAUGUUUCACUGUCAAGUGUUAAGGAGGUUGCUUAUUGAUUUACAGGGGCUGUGAUGGAUGAAUUGGAGGUAUAUAUGUGUGUGUUUUUGUAUAUAUUAUAUUGUUUCUAACCUGACCCCUUUUGUGCUUGAUAAUAUGAAUUGUAAUAUUCUUUCUAGAGCCUUGAAGAAAUCACUUGAACCUAAAAACCCAUUUCUUUAUAUGCUCACACACAACUAUGUGAAUGUGUACAUGAAAUGGAAGAAAGAUCCAAACUUUGAUACAAUUGAGUCCGUUAACAAGUCGAUUGAGCUCAAACCCUUGAUUUCUCUCAAGAAUUGUAUUGCAAAUUCACCAAAUGGGUGUAUUCCAAUUACAGAUGUUUCGAAAAGGGGUCUUCAGUUAGAUGUUCCUUGUAAGGUUGCGCGGUUUCUUAGAUUGUACCCUUCUGUUUUUGAGGAGUUUGUUGGUCCUAAUUAUGAUCUUCCUUGGUUUAAGUUGACCGGAAAAGCGGUUGAGUUAGAUCAAGAAGAGAGAGCUGUUUAUAGGGAUUUUAGAGAUGAUUUGCAAGGUAGGUUGAAGAAGUUUAUACUUAUGAGUGGUGAAAAGAGAUUGCCGUUAAAGAUAAUCAGGGGGAUGCAGUGGUAUUUGGGUUUGCCGGAUGAAUAUUUGGACGAUCCGGAGAAAAAUCUUGAUGGCUGUUUUAGGAUUGUAGAUAUUGAAGAUGGGUUGAAGGGUUUAGCUGUUGAAUGUGAGGAAAAGGUUUUGUCUUUUGUUCAGCGGAAUGCAAUGAGGAGAGGUGGGUAUAAUGGGGGAUCAAUGGAAGUCGUUGAAUUUCCGCUUUUUCCAUCGAAGGGGAUGAGGUUGAAGAGGAAGAUUGGUGAUUGGUUUCAUAAAUUUCAAGAGGUGCCAUAUGUUUCACCGUAUGACNACGAAAAAAUUGCAGGUGCACAGAUGGUCUUCUUUAUACUGAAUGUAGUCGAGGCAAUCGGAGUGGCAAUGACUUUCAAACCAUUUCUAGUAGAACGGCAGAAAUAAAAAGUGUUUAGGCUUGGACAUGGAUAAGUUUUAUCUAUUCUUUUUGUCAAUAUAAUCUGGUAUUUAAACUUCAGAUUAGUUAGUACAUGAUCUGUGCAGUUCAGAUAUGAAAUGCCUGUUGUUGAGAAAUUAUUGUCUGGGCAACAUUGACACUCAACUUGGUCAUAUAUAGUUAAUAUAAACACCAGACGUGACAGUGUAUUCAUUGAUGUUGAAUGUGAGCGGAGUCAUUUGUCAUUUAUGUUCUCUGUUUUUCUUCAAGUACUUCUCUUACAAAUCACUUUAAGUCAAUUCCUGCGCAAGGCUUCAUGAUCUGGUGAUGUUUGUCUUGAAAGUUGAAGUACAAAGUCUCAGGUAAAAUUCAUGAUCGCGAUCCGGUUUGGUUCGGAUUAGAGGUAAAACCGAAACCAAAUCAUACAUUCGCGGUUUUUUAAAAUCUCAAACCAACCCGCCACCGCAAACCAAUUAACCGGAUCAAACAGUACAGUUUUUAUGGAUUGAUGGGUUUAAUAUUACUUUGUAAUAAUAAUUUUUAUACAAAAAGUUAGAGAAAUAAUCAUUCCAUAAAACUUAAAAUAAUUUCCUCGAAAAAUAAUUUUAGUCUAAAAAUUAUUUUAAAAAAAAUAUUUCCGUGUGUCAAUAUUUUAAAAGUCUUUGAUUAAAUUAAAGAUAUCACUAAUUAAUUCUUACAAAAUAAUUUAUCAAUUCGACUAAAAAUCCAUUAUACCAUGCCCUCGAUUCAUCUAAACUGAAGCCAUCUUCAACCUUUACUGCAAGUAUGUUUCACUGUCAAGUGUUAAGGAGGUUGCUUAUUGAUUUACAGGGGCUGUGAUGGAUGAAUUGGAGGUAUAUAUGUGUGUGUUUUUGUAUAUAUUAUAUUGUUUCUAACCUGACCCCUUUUGUGCUUGAUAAUAUGAAUUGUAAUAUUCUUUCUAGAGCCUUGAAGAAAUCACUUGAACCUAAAAACCCAUUUCUUUAUAUGCUCACACACAACUAUGUGAAUGUGUACAUGAAAUGGAAGAAAGAUCCAAACUUUGAUACAAUUGAGUCCGUUAACAAGUCGAUUGAGCUCAAACCCUUGAUUUCUCUCAAGAAUUGUAUUGCAAAUUCACCAAAUGGGUGUAUUCCAAUU